rnacentral:rRNA from 1 species
GCGGCAGCUACCAUGCAGUCGAGCGGUAACAGGAGAAAGCUUGCUUUCUUGCUGACGAGCGGCGGACGGGUGAGUAAUGUAUGGGGAUCUGCCCGAUAGAGGGGGAUAACUACUGGAAACGGUGGCUAAUACCGCAUGACGUCUACGGACCAAAGCAGGGGCUCUUCGGACCUUGCGCUAUCGGAUGAACCCAUAUGGGAUUAGCUAGUAGGUGGGGUAAUGGCUCACCUAGGCGACGAUCUCUAGCUGGUCUGAGAGGAUGAUCAGCCACACUGGGACUGAGACACGGCCCAGACUCCUACGGGAGGCAGCAGUGGGGAAUAUUGCACAAUGGGCGCAAGCCUGAUGCAGCCAUGCCGCGUGUAUGAAGAAGGCCUUAGGGUUGUAAAGUACUUUCAGCGGGGAGGAAGGUGUUAAGAUUAAUACUCUUAGCAAUUGACGUUACCCGCAGAAGAAGCACCGGCUAACUCCGUGCCCGU